GGCCGCUUAGUUUAGUGGCAGAAUGCCGCCCUCCUACCACUGUGGAAGGCGGUGGUCGACGGUUCGAACCCGUCAGUGGUCG
rfam:Rhodotorula sp. JG-1b unplaced genomic scaffold RHOSPscaffold_19, whole genome shotgun sequence.